rnacentral:rRNA from 1 species
AAUCAACGCUGGCGGCGUGCCUCAGACAUGCAAGUCGAACGCGAAAUUUCCCUUCGGGGAGAAAGUAGAGUGGCGCACGGGUGAGUAACACGUAGGUAAUUUGCCUUUGGGUGGGGAAUAACUCAGGGAAACUUGAGCUAAUACCGCAUAAUGCAGCGGCUCGACAUCGAGACAGUUGCUAAAGCGGGGGAUUGGAGCAAUCCGACCUCGCGCCUAAAGAGAAGCCNGCGGCAGAUUAGCUAGUUGGUAAGGUAAUGGCUUACCAAGGCGACGAUCUGUAACCGGCCUGAGAGGGCGGUCGGUCACACUGACACUGACAUACGGGUCAGACUCCUACGGGAGGCAGCAGUCGGGAAUUUUGGGCAAUGGGCGCAAGCCUGACCCAGCAACG